UGGAAGUUGCAGCAAGUAUGUGCUGUCUUGUAAGAGUAGAAUUGUCGUCGAAGAAACAACGGUUUCUCGACAUAAUUUCCACCAAAAACUUGAGAGAAUUGAGGAGGGAAUUGAUAGCAAAAUCACAGUUUAUAUGACAGCAAGGAUAUCUAAUUUAAUCAAGAAAAUUUCGGCAGUAUAACAGCAAAGAAAUUGGUGCAAGUUGUGAUUGCAGAAUUCUCGUCGAAAAAUUUCAGCGGGUUACGACGAAAAUUUGCAGCAACAUAAAAUCGUUUUUAGAGAUGAAUUUCUUAAUAGAUCAAUCUUAGAUGGAAG
rnacentral:lncRNA from 1 species